rnacentral:rRNA from 1 species
UAAUACGGAGGGUGCGAGCGUUGUUCGGAAUUAUUGGGCGUAAAGCGCGUGUAGGCGGUUUGUUAAGUCUGAUGUGAAAGCCCCGGGCUCAACCUGGGAAGUGCAUUGGAAACUGGCAGACUUGAAUACGGGAGAGGGUAGUGGAAUUCCUAGUGUAGGAGUGAAAUCCGUAGAUAUUAGGAGGAACACCGGUGGCGAAGGCGGCUGCCUGGACCGAUAUUGACGCUGAGACGCGAAAGCGUGGGUAGCAAACAGG